rnacentral:misc_RNA from 1 species
AUCACACGUGUCAGUUUACGAAUAUUUUCAAGUCUCACGGCACGACUUUAUAUCUGUUGGCUGAUCUUACGGGAGGACAGGAGAGAGAAUUUUCUGUUGCCAAGUGUUAUGAAGUGGAAUGAAGAGAUACAGCAGGAACAAGUGUUAAUUGGAACGAUCAAAUUUUAAUAGAAGCAAAAUCUGAUAAACAAGAUGCAUAUCUACAGAAAGCAACGAACCUCGCAGCCAGGUUAUCGACCAUCGCCAAC